GAGUUUUUGCAGGGGUGGCGAGGAGCCUGAGAUGAUACCCGUUGAACCUGAUCUGGAUCAUGCCAGCGAAGGGAAUUGCAAGACUGGCCGCAAU
rnacentral:ncRNA from 2 species